GACGGUCGCGCGCGCACGCCACUCCUGCGCACCUCCACGAGUGUUUUGUGUCGAAACUGAACAAACGAGCUAAAGUUAUCUGUGACUGUGUAUGUGUUUAAUUGUUCUAGUGUAUUAGCUGAUUGGAGAUCCAGCCAGGUAUUCUUGUUGGCCUGGUUCGUUUUGGCAUAGAAGCUGGACAUACAACAGUGAAAUUCAUAGUGUACCCAUUUCGACAUACCUCGAAACUGAUCAUGUGAUCAAACGGUUUGGAUGCUACAGACACGAGUGGCGUUUCC
rnacentral:lncRNA from 1 species